rnacentral:rRNA from 1 species
UAAUACGGAGGGUGCAAGUGUUGUUCGGAAUUACUGGGCGUAAAGGGCGUGUAGGCGGUUAGGCAAGUCAGAUGUGAAAGCCCUUGGCUUAACCAAGGAAGUGCAUUUGAAACUGCUUGACUAGAGUACAGGAUGGGAAAGUGGAAUUCCCAGUGUAGAGGUGAAAUUCAUAGAUAUUGGGAGGAACACCGGUGGCGAAGGCGGCUUUCUGGCCUGAUACUGACGCUGAGACGCGAAAGCGUGGGGAGCAAACAGGAUUAGAUACCCUGGUAGUCCACGCCGUAAACGAUGGGCACUAGGUGUAGGAAGUGUUGACCCUUUCUGUGCCGAAGCUAACGCAUUAAGUGCCCCGCCUGGGGAGUACGGUCGCAAGGCUA